AUUUUUCAAGAUAUCAGAUUAAGUUACCAAGUGGAAUCUUUUCAUAUAGGUAGUCACAUUCAAGAAGUUUAAAUUCAAAGUAAACAAUGGUUUCAAUAAAGCUAGUAUCGUUUGAGGAAGAACUAAAGAAGAAUCCCGAAUUAAAAGAGUCAGAUAUACAAAUGUUAAGGGAAUGGUGCGAAAAGCAGUCUUAUCUGCCCAAAAUAUCAAAUAGUGAAUUAGCAUUGUUCUUGCAUAGUAAUUAUUAUCGACUUGAACCAACGAAAACUACUAUCGACACCUUUUUCACAGUUAGAACUCACGUACCUGAGUUUUUUUACAAUCGAGAUCCUAUUAACAACAAAGAACUCAAAAAAGCAACUGAAACGGUAACGAACAUAAUUUUGGAAGGAACUACUAAAGAAGGUUAUAAAAUUAUUUAUGGAAGACUCCUAGAUGACGAACCAUCGCAUUUCGUUUACAACGAUACUAUGAAAUUUCUGAAUAUGGUGAUUGAUUUAUGGCUCUAUAUGGAAGGCACUUGUGAUGGUCAUGUAUUGUUAAUCGACAUGAAAAACGUUUCUCUCGGCCACGUCGGUCGUUUGAGUCCCAUGGCCUUAAAGAAAUUCCUUUACUAUCUGCAAGACGGGUUACCUGUUAGAUUGAAGAGCUUUCACUUCAUGAAUGCUUCUCCGGUAAUAGAUCUCAUUUUGAAUAUGAUGAGACCUUUCAUGAAAAAGCAGCUGAUGGAUAUGUUUCAUAUGCAUACUAUGAAUGAUACUUUGGAGAAAUUUGUACCUCUCGAAGUUCUUCCAAACGAAGCAGGUGGUCAAGCUGGACCUGUAAGAGACUUACAUGAUAAACAAGUGAAAAAAUUGAUAGAUCAUGUUGUCUGGUUCCAAGAAGAUGAAGCUAAUCAUCGUGUUAAUGAAUCGCUACGACCGGGCAAGGCAAAGACAGCAACGGAUUUAUUUGGCGUUGAAGGAAGUUUUAAGAAGCUUGAAAUUGAUUGAUGGAAUCAUAUUUUGCAACACCAAUGAUAUCACUCACAGUUCCACUUAUGUGAUGAAAUGAAUCGGCAGUCAAUCAUACCAUUCAAUGAUCAAUGCAAAUAAAAAAAUGUGCAGAUUUUUAACAGUGUGAACCAAAUUUUAUAGGAGACCGGGGCUAAAAGUUUCGAUUUUGAGAAAAC
rnacentral:misc_RNA from 1 species